AGCGAACGCUGGCGGCAGGCCUAACACAUGCAAGUCGAACGAACCUUUCGGGGUUAGUGGCGGCCGGGUGAGUAACACGUGGGAACGUGCCUUUAGGUUCGGAAUAACUCAGGGAAACUUGUGCUAAUACCUAAUGUGCCCUUCGGGGGAAAGAUUUAUCGCCUUUAGAGCGGCCCGCGUCUGAUUAGCUAGUUGGUUGAGGUAAUGGCUCACCAAGGCGACGAUCAGUAGCUGGUCUGAGAGGAGGAUCAGCCACAUUGGGACUGAGACACGGCCCAAACUCCUACGGGAGGCAGCAGUGGGGAAUCUUGCGCAAUGGGCGAAAGCCUGACGCAGCCAUGCCGCGUGAAUGAUGAAGGUCUUAGGAUUGUAAAAUUCUUUCACCGGGGAAGAUAAUGACGGUACCCGGAGAAGAAGCCCCGGCUAACUUCGUG
rnacentral:rRNA from 1 species